rnacentral:sRNA from 1 species
CCCACGGCUUACGCCGUGGGCUACACUCUGCCGCCCGCUCCGCGGGCU